rfam:Ciona savignyi cont_10663, whole genome shotgun sequence.
GCUGCGAUGGCCGAGUGGUUAAAGCGUUGGACUCGAAAUCCAUUGGAUAUUCCCGUGCAGGUUCGAAUCCUGUUCGCAGCG